rnacentral:misc_RNA from 1 species
GGUGGACGUGCCCAUGUUGAGUUUGUUUCUAGUUGUUCUCCUAGCGGCAACGACAUUUGAGCCUAUCUCAUCUUUGCCAUCUACUAUUCCUGCAUUCCUUUGGUCCCCACACCAUCGCCACGGGUUUUCUAACAACAUUCUAGAAAAAUAUGUUGAUUAUCAGACCAUUUCCCCACAGGAGCUGGCAAAGUCUGUUCUGUAUGAAGGGGGCUGGUCACAAAUUCUGUGCACGGGAAAGGAAGUAGAGCAGCAUGUGGAUCUUGCAAUAAUCUUUGUUGGUUCAGAGUUGCAGUCAGAUUUCAUGUUGAGCAGGCGCGUGGAUCCAAAUCUUAUGGACUUACUUAAGGUCUCUUUCUCAAGGUCUAACUUCUCCAUGGCAUUUCCCUAUGUGGCUGCCCCAGAAAGGGGUGCAAUUGAAAAGUUAUUGAUCUCAGAGUUCAAAAAAUCAUGUGGGCAUGACCUCAGAAUCAGCAAUAGUGCUUUCCAGGAGUUGUCCUCUGUUGAGGAUGAAUCAUUCCAGAAACUUUCACUGCUGCCGCAUUCGAUUAAUGAUUAUAUGGUUUCAAGAAUGGAAACGAAGCCAAAGGGAGAGACAGAUUUGGUCGUUUUCUCUCAUGGAGAUUUCAGUUCUCCUAAAGAAGGAAAUCCAUGGACUUCUGAAAGCAAAACUUUGUUGGAGAUAAUGACUUCUGCGGAGCAUGCUGGGGCAAAGUAUGAAAUUCUCUAUAUAUCAGAUCCCUUUAGGUCCAUUCGCCAUUCGUAUGUGGAGCUGGGAAGAUUUAUGGCUGAAGGUUCCUCUGGAAAUGGA